AACAAACUUUAAAAAAAAAUUAUACAAAUACACCAUAUUCUUUUAGAGUAGGCCAAAAAAAAUUAUUUUGAGACUUUUAGGGACCAAAAAACUAACACGUACGCUCAUUUCGACACUUGACCCGCGUGUGUGAAGUGGAUAAAAGCUGGAGACCAAUUAAUUUGGUUGCUAAAGGUUGUCAAAUACGCGAUAUAGAAUCGAUCUUCACUAGGACUUAAUCGAUCUCAGCUAUUUCCCCUGUUGCUAAAGGUUGUCAAAUACGCGACAUCAGAAUCGAUCUUCACUAGGACUCUCGAUCUCGGCUAUUUCUUCUGUCUAGGGCUUAACGAUCUUCAACUUCGAUCGAUCUUUAGCUUAAAUCCGAAUCAAUCUUUGUGCCACCUCAUAUCAGAAUUGAUCUUCACUUCAACCCGAAUCGAUCUAAGUACUGAUCUCAGCUUCAAUCGAUCUUACCUAUUGUAACUUUAAUCCGAGUCGAUUAAGAUCUUAGCUACUGAUCUCAGUUUUAAUCCGAAUCGAUCAUUGAUGAUCUGAGUUCUUUGGCUUCAAUCGGAAGAUAUAUAUAAGUUUGAGUAAAUCGAUUUGGUUUCCAACAGAGAUCGUAGUAAUUUGGAUCAAUAACGAUUUGAGAAGAAGUCCUGGAGGAAGCAAAGUUACUGGCAUUUUUUGGAAUCUCCAUAUCCUAUCUCUAAACAGGUUGAUUCUUUAUCUUCUUCUUCAUUUUUUGCAAAUUUCUGCUACUUUGAAGACAUCGAUUGGUUAAUUCACUCUCUAUCAAGGAACUUAUAGACGUCGAAGGUGAUGGAAUGGCUGACAUGGUAUUUCGUUGUAUUCAUGAAAUGGACAUUAAUAAUCAGAUGAUAGUAUGUAGGUCAUUUUGUAAGCAAUAAUUCUUAUAGUUUUUUACUUAAAAGCAUUUAGUAUUAUCAAUCUUAAUAGUUAUAACAAUGACAUAUAUAUCCUACAACUUUGAUGAAGAUACACUUGUCUUGCUAUAUAGAUUUUUUCUGUACCAUGUGACCACUUCAUGCCUUGUACAAUAUACACUUUGUAAUGUAUUUGAAUUUAUUUUCAAGUAUUUUUAACCCCUAAUUUGUUUUGUUUU